ACAUAUACAUCCGCCCGGGUACUACGAGCACAGCUUAAAACCCAAAGGACUUGGCGGUGCCUCAGACCCACCUAGAGGAGCCUGUUCUAGAACCGAUAACCCCCGAUGAACCUCACCACUUCUUGUUUUCCCCGCCUAUAUACCGCCGUCGUCAGCUUACCCUGUGAAGGUUUAACAGUAAGCAAAAUGGGCCCACCCAAAAACGUCAGGUCGAGGUGUAGCGUACGAAGUGGAAAGAAAUGGGCUACAUUUUCUACAUACAGAAUAUUACGAACGGUGUAUUGAAAUCAUACACCCGAAGGUGGAUUUAGUAGUAAAAAGCAAAUAGAGUGUCCCUUUGAACUAGGCUCUGAGACGCGCACACACCGCCCGUCACUCUCCCCACAUACCCCAUCUAAACAUAUAUAAUAAACCAAACACAAACACGGGGAGGCAAGUCGUAACAUGGUAAGUGUACCGGAAGGUGCACUUGGAAUAAU
rnacentral:rRNA from 1 species